CACCAGUGGGGAAUUUUGGACAAUGGGGGCAACCCUGAUCCAGCAAUGCCGCGUGAGUGAAGAAGGCCUUCGGGUUGUAAAGCUCUUUUGUCAGGGAAGAAACAGCAGCUCUAACACAGUCUGCGAAUGACGGUACCUGAAGAAUAAGCACCGGCUAACUACGUGCCAGCAGCCGCGGUAAUACGUAGGGUGCGAGCGUUAAUCGGAAUUACUGGGCGUAAAGCGUGCGCAGGCGGUUAUACAAGACAGGCGUGAAAUCCCCGGGCUUAACCUGGGAAUGGCGUCUGUGACUGUAAUGGCUAGAGUGUGUCAGAGGGGGGUGGAAUUCCACGUGUAGCAGUGAAAUGCGUAGAUAUGUGGAGGAACACCAAUGGCGAAGGCAGCCCCCUGGGAUAACACUGACGCUCAUGCACGAAAGCGUGGGGAGCAAACAGGAUUAGAUACCC
rnacentral:rRNA from 1 species